GCUUAUAAAGACUUUAGCAUAGUUCCUACAACAUAGUAAGUGCUCAAUAAUUGUUUUGUAUGUGUUGGUGGUGAUAUCAUCGUAAUCAUCAUAGAUAAGGCAAUUAUGAGCAUUGUUAUCUUUAAACUCCUAUUUCACAAUCGGGACUCAGCAGGAAAGAAGCAGUCCUGCAGAAGAAGAGCUGUGCUUCAGACUGUGCCUGAUGGAGUAAUUAAAGUCACAAUUUUAACAGUGUUUAGUUAACAGCCAAUGAGUCGGCAAAAAUUUUUAGCAUCAACUUUUGUGCCAUGUUCCUUUUCCUGCCAUCCUUGCUUAUGUUGAGAUGCUAUAUUAAUUGGAUUUCAGAUCUGAGGAAAGCAGGCACCGUCCUCAUGGGGAUGAGCACUUUGUUUCCCCUCCUAGAGCUGGGAGUGAGCACCUGCCACACCAUACACAUCUCCUCCUGCACCGGCUUCCUCUCCUUCAGCUCCUCCAGGUCUCCUGCCUAAUGGAGGAGAAGGAGUCCACUACAUGACCAAAUCCCAAAGAGGGUGGCUGUCUGGAGGAGAGGAAUGUUGCCUGGUGUAAUCAUGGACCUCCUAUCUGUUCACAUGGCGGAAAUAGACGUUUCCUCAUCUUCAGCAGAACUGAAGUCCAUAUCGUGAGAGUAGGGCAAAGCUGUUUUUCUCACUCAACUUCAGCAAGUGCCAGUUAAGCUCUGCCUGGUGCUGGCAAAAGAAAAACAAAGAAUGAAAUGUGAUUGUUUCGUGAAGCUGGACUAACAGUAAAGGGAACCCUUCU
rnacentral:lncRNA from 1 species